rnacentral:rRNA from 1 species
CCUACGGGGGGCUGCAGUGGGGAAUAUUGGACAAUGGGGGCAACCCUGAUCCAGCCAUGCCGCGUGUGUGAAGAAGGCCCUCGGGUUGUAAAGCACUUUCAGUGAGGAAGAACGCCUGGUGGUUAAUACCCAUCAGGAAAGACAUCACUCACAGAAGAAGCACCGGCUAACUCCGUGCCAGCAGCCGCGGUAAUACGGAGGGUGCGAGCGUUAAUCGGAAUUACUGGGCGUAAAGCGCGCGUAGGUGGCUUGAUAAGCCGGUUGUGAAAGCCCCGGGCUCAACCUGGGAACGGCAUCCGGAACUGGCAAGCUAGAGUGCAGGAGAGGAAGGUAGAAUUCCCGGUGUAGCGGUGAAAUGCGUAGAGAUCGGGAGGAAUACCAGUGGCGAAGGCGGCCUUCUGGACUGACACUGCCACUGAGGUGCGAAAGCGUGGGUAGCAAACAGGAUUAGAUACCCGAGUAGUC